rnacentral:rRNA from 1 species
GACAGAGGUCCCGAGCGUUAGGCGGAAUCACUGGGCUUAAAGCGUGUGUAGGCGGAUCGUUAAGUGCCUUGUGAAAUCCCAUGGCUUAACCAUGGAACUGCUUGGCAUACUGGCGAUCUUGAGCCAUCUAGGGGCGACUGGAACAAACGGUGGAGCGGUGAAAUGCGUAGAUAUCGUUUGGAACGCCAAUGGUGAAAACAGGUCGCUGGGGAUGAGCUGACGCUGAGACACGAAAGCCAGGGGAGCAAACGGG